CCUACGGGUGGCAGCAGUGAGGAAUAUUGGUCAAUGGUCGGGAGACUGAACCAGCCAAGCCGCGUGAGGGAUGAAGGUACAGAGUAUCGUAAACCUCUUUUGUCAGGGCACAAAGUCGGGGAAGUGUCCCCGGCUGCGUGUACCUGAAGAACACGCAUCGGCUAACUCCGUCCCAGCAGCCGCGGUAAUACGGGGGGUGCGAGCGUUAUCCGGUUUUAGUGGGUGUAAGGGGUUCGCAGUGGGUCGGGUAAGUCAGCGGUAAAACCCCGGGGCCCAACCCCGGCCCGCCGUUGAGACUGGCAGUCUCGAGUUGGAGAGAAGUAUGCGGAAUGCGCGGUGUAGCGGUGAAAUGCAUAGAUAUCGCGCAGAACUCCGAUUGCGAAGGCAGCAUGCCGGCUCCACACUGACGCUGAGGCACGAAAGCGUGGGUAUCGAACAGGAUUAGAUACCCUAGUAGUC
rnacentral:rRNA from 1 species